GUUAGCAUUGCUUAUCAACUUCUGAUUCUGAUCAUCUUGCAUCUGUUGCAUUCUCCUGUUUAUUCCUAUGUCAACAACUUUCCCUGUUUAUUCCAAUGUUAACAACCUUCCCUGUUAACAACACUUCUGUUUAUCUGUUAACAACUAUAGCUGUUUAUUUCUGUUAACAACUCUCCCUGUUUAUUCCUGUGUUAGCAACUGUCCCUGUAUAUUCCUAUGCUAACAGCUUGUCAGUGGUUAUUCCUGUUUGUUUACAGUUUUCCCAUGUUUAUUCCUGUAAGCUGUCUUCCCAUGUUUGUUCCCAGCAAUUCCAAUCUAAAAUAUGGGUAUUACACAGUAUAGAGAUUAUUUCUUCUAGUUUGUUGAACUCCUAUAUCUGUUAUUGUCUGACUGGUGUAUAUGUGAGCAAGCAUUGUUUUUUCCUAAUCUUGUGUGAUAGGAACAUUUAUGAACACUAAUAGCUGUGUUUGCCUUGUAUUAGUGGUGUGUUAAAGAACCAAAGUAAUGUAGAUUUGUUUCGGAGUUUUCAGAUAUGUUUGGAUCAGGAUCUGUAUUUAUAAUAUAAGAAUAACGUUUUCUGAUUAUAUAAAGUUGCGUUAGUGUAGCAGGGCGUGGAGUCAUCCCACAGAUGACAUCCUUACCUUGUCUGCUUGCUGACGGGGUUAACCUUUUUGGUCAUGUGGAGAAGGCGUACGACUUCGGAUCAGAAGGUUCGUGGUUCGAAUACCAGCACGGGACUUGGAAAGUUUAUGGCCGCUACAUUAGAACCAACCUUUUCAGCCUAUUUGCCAAGCUUUUGUUUGCAAUGCUUAGUUCUUCCAGUUAUUUACACAUUAACAAUGCAUUAUCUGUGAUGGUAAAACUUUAAUUUGUGUUUGCCGAGACUGCAGAUUGUCUGUUUAUGACUGAUAUGGAAGGAUAACAAUAUAACUCUCUUUAUUACAAUGAGAGCGACAUUUCAGUGUAGGUUCUAACACCAUUAUCAAGCAAGUGGUAUGUUAGAACAGCUGUUGUGGCAUGGUCAUUUCUAUAGUAAAAAGAGUCUACUUGUCUACUUACAAGUUAUAUGAUGAAAUGUUAAAUGUUUCACUAUAACAGUGGUCUGAUUUGUUUUCGGUCUUAAAUUUGAAAAAGUGACAGACUUAAGGAUGUUUGAUUGUAUAAGAAGAGAUGAGUGUAUGAAAGGCACAAAGUGGAAUUCGGAGUGUGAAGAUAGGUAGUGAGUCUGUUAAUCUCAGUGUGUGAAACAAGCUCAGUUUAAACUGGAUAAUAAACUGUUAUUUACAUAUGUGGAUGGUGUACAGCUUUCCAGAAGAUAAUUAUUGUAAUUAGUUAAGUGAUUCCGAUGUACAUAUACAUGUGUGUAGUAUAAACGAAAAAUGAAGUUGAUGAAAUGUUGAUUGGUUCUGGAUGGGUUUGUGAAUAUGAGGUAUUUCUGUUAUAGGAUAUUAUUCAUAUGGAACUUAUAGUUCUAUCCAAAGCAAGUUUAUGCAAGCAUAUCUAAAAGAUACACAUAUCUUUUGAAAAUAUUGAAUUACAAGAUUUCAAGUGGAAUUGUUAUAUUACAUUUCCAUGACUACAGUGCUGAUUGAGUGUAAAGUUGUAAUAUACUGAUGGAGAAAACUAAGGCAACAUGUCAGUGAAGUAUUGACAUGCUACUCAGUAUAUACUUGAAGACGAAAGUUACCCACAAAUUCAGUUUCACUACAGGUAUUAUCUUGUAUGUUUUGUUGACAUGAAGGAUUUGAUAUUGACCAUAGCAGUCAACUGUCUUUGUCUCUAUGGGUAUUUGUUCCCGUUUUAUCGCACCAGAAAAUGAGGUCAGGUAAGGCAAACGGUAGACAGGAGGUCAAGUCACAUCAGGUGAACUCUAUGAGGUCAUGUCCGGCAAACGGUAGACAGGAGGUCAUACACGCUAAAAUCUACACAGGAGGUCAAGUCAUGUAUUGUGAACCCAACACAGGUUCUGCCAUGUGAAUCCUCAACAGUAAGUCAUAUGAGGUGACCCCCCACAGGAGGUCAUGUCAUAUCUGAUAGAAACUCCACAGGAAGUUAUGAAAGCUCAACAGGAGAUCAUAUGUGGGGGUAAUUCUACACAUGUUAUGCAAAUCCCACAUAAUCAUGUCCGACAAAUCCUCCACAGGAAGUUACAUCAGGUGAAUCUUCCACUGGAGAUCGCAUCAGGUGAACCCUCCACACUUCGGACAAACCCUUCAUGAGCAAACUUUCACUGCCCUAUUGAAAUAAUAUCAUUGGUUUUUGUAGUCAAUCAAAUAUCAACUCUGACAAUUUGGCCUCACAUAGUUGUGAUUUGUUAUGCUUGUAUCCAUGGUAAGGGCUCUUCUGUUACAUGCUCUAGCCCAUGUUAACAAUUGCUAAAUGCUUGGUUUUGCUUUGCUGAACAGGUUUUAUAUAGAGUCUUAUUCCAUACGCAGGAGUGAUAUUAAAUAUUUUUCGUUAUAAUGAA
rnacentral:lncRNA from 1 species